UACGUAGGGUGCAAGCGUUAAUCGGAAUUACUGGGCGUAAAGCGUGCGCAGGCGGUUCGCUAAGGCCGAUGUGAAAUCCCCGGGCUUAACCUGGGAACUGCAUUGGUGACUGGCGGGCUAGAGUAUGGCAGAGGGGGGUAGAAUUCCACGUGUAGCAGUGAAAUGCGUAGAGAUGUGGAGGAAUACCGAUGGCGAAGGCAGCCCCCUGGGCCAAUACUGACGCUCAUGCACGAAGCGUGGGAGCAAACAGG
rnacentral:rRNA from 1 species